rnacentral:rRNA from 2 species
ACGGGUGAGUAACACGUGGGUGAUCUGCCCUGCACUUUGGGAUAAGCCUGGGAAACUGGGUCUAAUACCGAAUAUGACCAUGCGCCUCCUGGUGUGUGGUGGAAAGCUUUUGCGGUGUGGGAUGGGCCCGCGGCCUAUCAGCUUGUUGGUGGGGUAAUGGCCUACCAAGGCGACGACGGGUAGCCGGCCUGAGAGGGUGACCGGCCACACUGGGACUGAGAUACGGCCCAGACUCCUACGGGAGGCAGCAGUGGGGAAUAUUGCACAAUGGGCGCAAGCCUGAUGCAGCGACGCCGCGUGAGGGAUGACGGCCUUCGGGUUGUAAACCUCUUUCAGCACAGACGAAGCGCAAGUGACGGUAUGUGCAGAAGAAGGACCGGCCAACUACGUGCCAGCAGCCGCGGUAAUACGUAGGGUCCGAGCGUUGUCCGGAAUUACUGGGCGUAAAGAGCUCGUAGGUGGUUUGUCGCGUUGUUCGUGAAAACUCACAACUCAAUUGUGGGCGUGCGGGCGAUACGGGCAGACUUGAGUACUGCAGGGGAGACUGGAAUUCCUGGUGUAGCGGUGGAAAUGCGCAGA